rnacentral:rRNA from 1 species
ACCUACGGGCGGCAGCAGUAGGGAAUUUUCGUCAAUGGGCGCAAGCCUGAACGAGCAAUGCCGCGUGAACGAGGAAGGUCUUCGGAUCGUAAAGUUCUUUUGAAGGGGAAAAAGAGCGGAGAGAGGAAAUGGUCUCCGAUUGAUAUUACCCUUCGAGGAAGUCACGGCUAACUACGUGCCAGCAGCCGCGGUAAUACGUAGGUGGCGAGCGGUAUCCGGCAUGAUUGGGCGUAAAGGGUGCGUAGGCGGCCUGCUAAGUCUGGAGUGAAAGGUACCGGCUCAACCGGUACAGGCUCUGGAAACUG